rnacentral:rRNA from 1 species
UGGGGAAUAUUGGACAAUGGGCGAAAGCAUGAUCCAGCCAUGCCGCGUGUGUGAAGAAGGUCUUCGGAUUGUAAAGCACUUUAAGUUGGGAGGAAGGGCAUUAACCUAAUACGUUAGUGUUUUGACGUUACCGACAGAAUAAGCACCGGCUAACUCUGUGCCAGCAGCCGCGGUAAUACAGAGGGAGCAAGCGUUAAUCGGAAUUACUGGGCGUAAAGCGCGCGUAGGUGGUUUGUUAAGUUGGAUGUGAAAUCCCCGGGCUCAACCUGGGAACUGCAUUCAAAACUGACUGACUAGAGUAUGGUAGAGGGUGGUGGAAUUUCCUGUGUAGCGGUGAAAUGCGUAGAUAUAGGAAGGAACACCAGUGGCGAAGGCGACCACCUGGACUAAUACUGACACUGAGGUGCGAAAGCGUGGGGAGCAAACA